GCACACGUAGCUCAACUGGAUAAAGCCCCCGGUUGCGAGCUGGGGAGGUGCAGGUUCGAGUCCUGCCGUGUGCACCA
rnacentral:tRNA from 1 species